AAGACAGGAAAAAGUCAUAGCAAAGCUGAUCGCUGCAAGUUGCUUCCAGUCCCCCCAGGUAUUAAAGUGGAUGAGCUACACACCUUUGAAAAAUGAGAUUAAUCAUGGAAAUAGCACAUGACCCUUAACCAGAGUGGCACUAAAUAGCACUGAAAUACGAUGGGAGCUGAAAGCAAAAGAGUCCAGUUCUAGCAAAUGGCUAUACUCCGAGCUGCGGUUUGUGGCAAAAAUGUGAUGUGUUGGAGAAAAGAGUGACUCAGUAACUCAGCAGUGGUAUAACUUACUCAGCAUGCCCAGCAGUGCAGUGGUGUAGUGCAAACGGACUGCAGGGGAUGGGUGUCCUGAGCUGUGUGAGCUAUGACGGCUGCUACAGCCCUGCAGGUUCUUCACUGGUUGAUAGCAGAAGUGGGGAUGAGCUGCAAAGGCCUCCAUCAGCUCUGUGAAGUGUGGGUUUAGAAGGAAGGAGUGGUUUCAGGUCUGCUGAUAAUGGAAACGCUUCGCCUCCUUCUGGCUUCGCAGCCAGACAAACACAUUAAACUUGCCAGAAAUGUGACAUUCAGAAAUAAAAAAGCAUCAGCCAACCUGGCCAGCUGAGUGACAGCACUCCAGGAAAGCCCAACCAGGCUGAGGAUGCAAGGGAAGAACUUGAAAAAUAACAAGAUCAAGUUUGAUAUUAAAUCUUGGCUUUAGAAAAUUAGUUUGAUAUCUCAUACCCCAGAUUAAAAAACAUAUUAAAAAAAAAUCCAAACAUCUAUUCCAAAUAUGAACAUUUUCCCCUUAUUUUCAGUCCAGACACUGAAUUUUUGGAAACACAUAAGCAUAUGAUUAAAAAUAAAAAAGUAGGACACAUUAGUCACACAUAUAUACUCAUUCUCCAAUUUGAGAGAUGAAAAAGUAAAUAAACCUGUCAGGUAUUAGUUAUCCUUUUGCCUUUCAUUUAUAGCAUACAUAAGAUAGGUUGAAGAGCAUGUAUUUUUAAGACAAAGAUCUCUCUUAGGACUCUUGUUAUCUGAUUCUAGUUAUCUUGAAUAUCAUGCUCAGCAAGAAGAAAAAUAAUACCAUUUCAAGAGAGGAAUGCAAUAAACCUUUUUAUUAGAGAUAUAUUAAAUGUGGGCUACUGUCAUGGGUGGAUUUGGAUUCUUUUUGUAUGUUAUAUUUUAAAUUAAGUUCAGGCCAAACUGAAGUGUUUCUUAGCAGUCAGAUAGCCUACAAUAUUAAUUCUGGCCUCCCAUAUUCAAAGGCAAUAACUUGUUGUUCUUUAAAAGAUGAAAAAGCCAAAGAUACACCAAACAUCAUGUAAACUUAUCAGAAAAAGAUGACCCAGCACCGUCAAAGAAGUUAUUGAAACUGGAGCUUGGGAAAUGAUUUCUAAAAAGCAAGGGCACUUCUAACAGCCCUUGGACCGUCACUGCUUGGUGUCCACCUUGAAAAGGACACAGAAAUUGUUUCAAGUUGUGCCUUGCAAUGGGAUGAUGCCAUGAGGAGCGGGGAGGUGACUGCCAGGACCCUGGUGGUAGAAAACAAAUUUCAGCAGCAAAGUUGGAAACCCGUAGCCACUAGAAGAAGGGGAGAUCUCUAGAGAGAGCAAACGCUGCUGUGUAGAGAAUUUAUUAGCAGCAGGCAUAGACGCCUGUAUCAGCACUUCACCGGUGGAUAAAUCAGUGGGUUUGCUAAUGAUGUUUCAGUUCUCUUGGUUGAAUUGGAUUUCUAAAACAAAAAAGCAGCUGCAGGCUGAAUCGCUUUAUAUGACAAGAGAAUAAUGACUAACCAAUCCUGAACACCCAGGGUUUCUGUAUAUACAGGAUAAUUUAGCUUCCUUUAUUGUUAUUAUUUUAUAUGCAAAUGAAAUUAUCAAUGGCUUUAUCUAAUUACUUCCUGGAUCACAUUUAUUCCCGAGUUUGUGCCUGUUUCUGUGUGAGAGAAAUGUCUUCCUCAUGUUUUAGCCAGGGUUUCACACUACAUCUUAGUCCUGCUGGAGCCUGUGGGAGU